ACGGCUCAGUAACACGUGGAUAACCUACCCUCAGAUCUGGGAUAACUCCGGGAAACUGGAGGUAAUACCGGAUAAUCCGUGAACGCUGGAAUGCCUCACGGUUGAAAGCUUUAGCGUCUGAGGAUGGGUCUGCGGCCGAUUAGGUAGUUGCUGGGGUAACGUCCCAACAAGCCGAUAAUCGGUACGGGUUGUGAGAGCAAGAGCCCGGAGAUGGAUUCUGAGACACGAAUCCAGGUCCUACGGGGCGCAGCAGGCGCGAAAACUUUACACUGCGCGAAAGCGCGAUAAGGGGACCUCGAGUGCGUGCGCAAUGCGUACGCUUUUCAAAUGCCUAAAAAGCAUCUGGAAUAAGGGCCGGGCAAGACCGGUGCCAGCCGCCGCGGUAACACCGGCGGCUCAAGUGGUGGCCGCUAUUAUUGGGCUUAAAGGGUCCGUAGCCGGACCAGUUAGUCCCUUGGGAAAUCUUACGGCUUAACCGUAAGGCUGCCAAUGGAUACUGCUGGUCUUGGGACCGGGAGAGGCAAGAGGUAUCUCAGGGGUAGGAGUGAAAUCCUGUAAUCCUUGAGGGACCGCCAGUGGCGAAGGCGUCUUGCUAGAACGGGUCCGACGGUGAGGGACGAAAGCUAGGGGCACGAACCGGAUUAGAUACCCGGGUAGUCCUAGCCGUAAACGAUGCGAGCUAGGUGUCACGUGGAUUGCGAAUCCAUGUGGUGCCGUAGGGAAACCGUGAAGCUCGCCGCCUGGGAAGUACGGCCGCAAGGCUGAAACUUAAAGGAAUUGGCGGGGGAGCAC
rnacentral:rRNA from 1 species